AUAGAUGUAGGAGAGAGGGAUUGGAAACGGAAGUAGAUUUCAAUGUACUUCGCAUAUGACCUCGAUAAACAUCCUCGCCUCGCUUAAUGAGGGCUAAUUUAUUCCCCAGUAACCUCGCGGGUAACUGAGAUUAUUGCAAAUCUUGGAUUUUAUGAGUUGUCACUAGUAUUCUGUCAAGUUUUCCAGUAUCCAGUGCAACUGUGCUUUAUAUAGAUAGUGAAUAACCAUUAUUCAAGCUCUAUUUACCGUUGCAACUAUCUUCUUCAUUGAAUUUAGCAAUACCUCGCAAGCCAAAACUUACUGAGUACGCUGAAGAAAAGAAGACAGAAGAAUACCAAAGAAUACCCCUCCUCUCUACACCCCUACACGUCACCGCCCUCGUAAAUGUUAUUGGCUGUUCCGGCUAUAUAUACACUCUUGUAUGCCUCACCAGCUUCUCUCCAUCUAAGACUGUCUGAUUAGAGUGCUAAACUAAUCAUAAUUAUAGCUGUAAUAAUCAUUUUUAUCGUGUAAGUUUUUGUUAAUGUUGUUCGGUUUGAUCCCACUCGUUUUACACUUAGAAAGCAACUGGCAGUGCUGUGGAGUGUUUUGCUGUCUCCAAGUGUAUGUAAUUAUACUUAAUGAAUUGGAAAUUGAAAUGUAUACACGCUCACCAGCCUAGUAUAUAUAGAAACUUCGUACAACUGAUUCAUCAAAAGUGAAAACAAUUAAGAAAGUUACAUGGUGUAUUAUGUAUCUUGUCGUGUGAAUGAUCAUGGUUAUUGCCUCAAA